AGUGAACGCUGGCGGUAGGCCUAACACAUGCAAGUCGAACGGCAGCACAGUAAGAGCUUGCUCUUACGGGUGGCGAGUGGCGGACGGGUGAGGAAUACAUCGGAAUCUACUUUUUCGUGGGGGAUAACGUAGGGAAACUUACGCUAAUACCGCAUACGACCUACGUGUGAAAGCAGGGGAUCUUCGGACCUUGCGCGAUUGAAUGAGCCGAUGUCGGAUUAGCUAGUUGGCGGGGUAAAGGCCCACCAAGGCGGCGAUCCGUAGCUGGUCUGAGAGGAUGAUCAGCCACACUGGAACUGAGAAACGGUACAGACUCCUACGGGAGGAAGCAGUGGGGAAUAUUGGACAAUGGGCGAAAGCCUGAUCCAGCCAUACCGCGUGGGUGAAGAAGGCCUUCGGGUUGUAAAGCCCUGUUGUUGGGAAAGAAAAGAAGCAGGUUAAUACCCCGCUGUUAUGACGGUACCCAAAGAAUAAGCACCGGCUAACUUCGUG
rnacentral:rRNA from 1 species